CCCUUAGAUGUUCUGGGCCGCACGCGCGCUACACUGACGAAUGCAACGAGCUUAUAACCUUGGCCGAAAGGUCUGGGUAAUCUCCAAAUUUCGUCGUGAUGGGGAUAGAUUAUUGCAAUUAUUAAUCUUCAACGAGGAAUGCCUAGUAAGCGCAAGUCAUCAGCUUGCGUUGAUUACGUCCCUGCCCUUUGUACACACCGCCCGUCGCACCUACCGAUUGAAUGGUCCGGUGAAGCCUCCGGAUUGCGCGCGCCUCCGGGCCGCACGAGAAGUUGGCUAAACCUUACCAUUUAGAGGAAGGUGAAGUCGUAACA
rnacentral:rRNA from 1 species